AUGUUGUGCAUUUUGGUGUGUCUACUGGCUGCAGAUUGGGACUUUGCCGUGGCGGUGUUGACAACAGAAUCCCAGGUGACACUACCAUGCAGGGCACAUUCCGUACAGGGAGUGCAGUAUCGAAAAAUCAGCUGGUACAAGGUGGUUGGGUCUGAGUAUCGAGGGCUUGUUAAGAAGAACCUGCAUGACAAUCACACAACGGUCUACCGAGGCGCUAACCAUUCGUACGAGGUGGGGAAGGAGUUCUCCCUGCUCCUGCCCGAGACCGCGCUGACGGACUGCGGGACUUACCAGUGCACUCUCUGGCCACCUCUGGGCCAUUUAAUUCAGGAGGGGAAAUACGACUACUACCCAGCAGGUUGUGUCAGUCCCCCUGAGGCCUUACCCAUGAUUCACCUUCCUGCCGCUCACUCCAGCAGUGAUGUCAGAGGGAACCUGGAGUCUUGGGGAGUUCCUGCAGCUUUGGUCAUUUUCAUCGUCUCUGGAAGUGUGUUCUGUGUCUACCGACGACAAAAAAACUCAAAAUUGUCAGACACCAUUUGAGGUAACAUGUAACUGUGUUAAACUGUUCACUUGGUUUUUUAUUUACAGAUUUUAAAAAAAAUGUAAAACAAUUUGGGUACUACUCAGGCUAUACAAUAAAUGUUAAUAAAACAGAGGCA
rnacentral:lncRNA from 1 species